CUCAGGGAGGUAGUGACAAGAAAUAACAACACUGGAAAUUUAUUUCUAGUGAUUGGAAUGAUGGGAAUUUAAACCCCUUUCAGAGUAACAAUUGGAGGGCAAGUCUGGUGCCAGCAGCCGCGGUAAUUCCAGCUCCAAUAGCGUAUAUUAAAGUUGUUGCAGUUAAAAAGCUCGUAGUUGGAUGUCUGCUGGAAGCAAUCAGUCCGCCCUAUUUGUAGGGUGUGCACUUGAUGAAUUCUGGUAUUUUUGUCCCAAUGAUGUAACGGAGCGGUGCUAUUGGGCAAAAGUUCAAUAGCCUGUUUUCCGAUUAUUGGGAUACUGUUACUUUGAGAAAAUUAGAGUGUUUGAAGCAGGCUAAUUGCCUUGAAUACUGCAGCAUGGAAUAACAAUAUAGGAUUUCGGUUCUAUUUUGUUGGUUUCUAGGACUGAAAUAAUGAUUAAUAGGGACAGUUGGGGGCAUUCGUAUUUAACUGUCAGAGGUGAAAUUCUUAGAUUUGUUAAAGACGAACUACUGCGAAAGCAUUUGCCAAAGAUGUUUUCAUUAAUCAAGAACGAAAGUUAGGGGCUCGAAGACGAUCAGAUACCGUCGUAGUCUUAACCAUAAACUAUGCCGACUAGAGAUAGGAAAAUGUCAUUUUGCUGACUU
rnacentral:rRNA from 1 species